rnacentral:rRNA from 1 species
GACGAACGCUGGCGGCGUGCUUAACACAUGCAAGUCGAACGGAAAGGCCUCUUUCGGGGGGUACUCGAGUGGCGAACGGGCGAGUAACACGUGAGUAACCUGCCCUUGACUUUGGGAUAACUUCAGGAAACUGGGGCUAAUACCGGCUAGGAGCUCCUGCUACAUGGUGGGGGUUGGAAAGUUUCGGCGGUUUGGGAUGGACUCGCGGCGUAUCAGCUUGUUGGUGGGGUAGUGGGUUACCAAGGCUUUGACGGGUAGCCGGCCUGAGAGGGUGAGCGGCGACAUUGGGACUGAGAGACGGCCGAGACUGCUACGGGAGGCAGCAGUGGGGAAGAUUGCACAAGGGGUGGAGGCCUGAUGCAGCAACGCCGUGUGCGGGAUGACGGCCUUCGGAUGGUAGACCGCUUUCGCUCAUGACGAAGCUUUGUGUGACGGUAGUGGGUAAAGAAGCACCGGCUAACUACGUG